UACUAUAGUCCAGACCUAUACAAGGAUGAAAUGCAAAAAAUGGGUUUAAAAUUAAGUAUUCCCACAGUUUUCACCAACUGCAAACGCUGCUGGAGAAGGUGCAUAAAAAUAUAGCGGGGACUGGGGGCUGUCUCAGUGGUAAAGUGUUUUCCUAACAUGCAGAGGCCCAGGUUCAAUCCCCAGACCCCACUCACAAAAAAUGAAAUAACAGAGAGAUUGACAGGAAGUAAGGAAAAGGAAAAGUAAGAAUUUUUAAAACUCAGCCCAUAUUGUAGCAGUUUCAUAAAUGAAGAAGCAAAACAAACAACUUUCUAAGCUUCAGUUGUAACACCCCCAACCUGGAGGCAAUCCAAAGGAGAAGCAUGGGGGACUGCACAAUGAAAUACUAUUCUGCAAUUAAACAGACAAACUAUGUGUACAACAGGCAAAUCUCAAAAGGAACUAGACCCCAAACAAUAUAUACUGGUAGCUCUCUUGAUAUAAAACUACAGCAAACACAAGCCCAUCUAUGACAAAAGGACACAGGACUAGAGUCAGAAUAUCCAGGAUGGGCAAAGGUCAUUGGCUGAAGGCUUAAGGUGCAGAAAUGCCUCAGUAGCAUGGGGAAGCACUUCAGGAGUCUCAGGUUCUAGCUAAACAGGUUCUUAUCAGGAGAAAGGAAGCUGAACCUGUAAUCUUACUCUAGGCUAUGGGACAUUCUGCAGGUAGAGGCAGAGAGGUGUUUUAUAACUCCCCAGACAAGGUCAGAGAUGGGGAAUCCCUGCCGUAUUGUGCUGAGCAUUGUCCUGACAAUGGUACACUUCAACCUUAAUUAGCAGGGCAACACGCUUCUAUUAUAUACUAGAAAUCCAUUAUAAAAACAUACCCAGCAUUCAUGAAUAUCUAUGAGCACAACAGACUAGAGCAAAGCCCAGGUGUAGUUUUAAGGUACUUUUGUUUUUGCUUUUUUUUUCUUUUUUUCUUUCCAAGACAGGGUCUAUCUAUACGGCCCUGGCUGACUAUCCUGGAAUUCACCACGCAAACCAAGCUGGCCUAAACUCACAGAGAUCUGCCUGCCUCUGCCUGAGCAGUGCUGGGAUUAAAGUGUGCACCGCCACAUCUGCUUUAUCUUUUGUUAAUGCUGUGGUGCUUUGGAAUGUUGAAGCCAGUGACAGCAGUGGAGGCUCGCUUGUUCUUGAGUAAAAGAGUCCCCCUCAUCAGCAAAGUUAAAGGGAAAACGACAAUGGCUGUUAAGUCUUACAGGCUUAAUGUCUCAAAGUCUUUAAAACUGUGCCUUUACAAAAGCAUGUGAUUCAAAAUGCUAUGCUCCGAGAGGCAUUUUCUUUUUUUUUUUUUUCUUUUCCAUUUUUUAUUAGGUAUUUAGCUCAUUUACAUUUCCAAUGCUAUACCAAAAGUCCCCCAUACCCACCCCCCCCACUCCCCUACCCACCCACUCCCCCUUUUUGGCCCUGGCGUUACCCUGUACUGGGGCAUAUAAAGUUUGCGUGUCCAACGGGCCCGAGAGGCAUUUUCUAAACAGAAUCCUAAGCAGAAAUCGGGUAGCUUGAAAAUCUUCAGGCUUUUAUGGACCACGUAAUGGAAGAGGGGCUGUAAUCAUCACAAUGAGAGUUUCUCUGCAGCUCAAAUAUUAUGCUAAUUGCAAUACAAUAGAUCCAUCUCCUGAAAUGUUAUUUAGCUACAAAGUUUUUCACAUUUAGUAUUGACUUUCUUAUAAGAAGGGCUAGGCUGAUUCCAUGACAGGCUUCAAGCUGGCUGUUCAGGAAACUAGGCCUACAUCUCCGCUUCCAAGAACUGGGCAAGUGCAGGACUCAGAAGCUUCUCCACCACUAGUCCUGAGGCAAGGACCAUUGCCAGCAGCAGUUUCCAGACUUCCUCAACAACAGUUUCCAGUCCCCCCAGCAAGGGUUCUGGAAUGUCCAUAGAGAUAAAGCCAAGAUUAAGAGAGAGGUCACUUACCCCUCCAUAGAAUUCCCCUGAUGUGCUUGAAAUCAGGCCUGUGAGCUCACUUUGGGGUCUCUCCAUCUUUGUAGAUGGUAGAGCAUGCUGGACUUAUGCACAGUAAAACACCUUUUGCAUUUGCAUACUGUGGCAUCAUUCUUCAGCAAAUCAUGGACCCUUACCCUUAGAGGCAAAGGUUUCUAUUAUAUUUAUGUCAACAGUUGCUGUUAUAUACUAAAUAUCAGUUAAAAUUCACCUGCUCUUGCCUGUGGUUUUUCCAAUGAUUCUGAACAGAGCUAAAUGAACACUUGGUUGUAUAAGACAGUGGAGUGGGCUUAUGGAACACUCAUUUGUAG
rnacentral:lncRNA from 1 species